UGAAUCCGCGCGGGAGAGUCCCCAGCCGUCUGCGCUGGGGCGCCGAAGGAGCAAGUCCCUCCCUUGAAUCUCUCAGGCCCCGUUACCGCGCGGGCGAG
rnacentral:ncRNA from 2 species